CACGAACGCUGGCGGCAGGCUUAACACAUGCAAGUCGAGCGCCCCGCAAGGGGAGCGGCAGACGGGUGAGUAACGCGUGGGAAUCUACCCAUCUCUACGGAAUAACGCAUGGAAACGUGUGCUAAUACCGUAUACGUCCUUCGGGAGAAAGAUUUAUCGGAGAUGGAUGAGCCCGCGUUGGAUUAGCUAGUUGGUGGGGUAAAGGCCAACCAAGGCGACGAUCCAUAGCUGGUCUGAGAGGAUGAUCAGCCACACUGGGACUGAGACACGGCCCAGACUCCUACGGGAGGCAGCAGUGGGGAAUAUUGGACAAUGGGCGCAAGCCUGAUCCAGCCAUGCCGCGUGAGUGAUGAAGGCCCUAGGGUUGUAAAGCUCUUUCACCGGUGAAGACAAUGACGGUAACCGGAGAAGAAGCCCCGGCUAACUUCGUGCCAGCCGCCGCCGUAACAC
rnacentral:rRNA from 1 species